rnacentral:rRNA from 1 species
GUGGGGAAUAUUGCACAAUGGGGGGAACCCUGAUGCAGCGACGCCGCGUGAGCGAUGAAGGAAUUCGUUUCGUAAAGCUCUGUCCUUGGAGAAGAUAAUGACGGUAACCAAGGAGGAAGCACCGGCUAAAUACGUGCCAGCAGCCGCGGUAAUACGUAUGGUGCGAGCGUUGUCCGGAAUUAUUGGGCGUAAAGGGUACGUAGGCGGUUAAACAAGUCAGAUGUAAAAACUUGAGGCUCAACCUCAUGUAGCAUUUGAAACUGUAUAACUUGAGUAGUGGAGAGGAAAGUGGAAUUCCUAGUGUAGCGGUGAAAUGCGUAGAUAUUAGGAGGAAUACCAGUAGCGAAGGCGACUUUCUGGACACAAACUGACGCUGAGGUACGAAAGCGUGGGGAGCAAACAGGA